GGGCACCAGGCGGCUUCCCGAGUGGGCAGGUGACUCAGCAGUGACAUAGGCAAAGCCCACGUGGGGGUGGGGGCAGGGAUGGCAAGGCUGCUGACCCGGGGUGGGGGGCUGGGAGCAGGCACAGGGUCCCGGGAACCCGCCUGGCUAGGGCUGGGGGCCACAGGGCUCUUCCCCUGCUGGUGCAGGAAUGCAGGCUGACUCCUCGCCGAGGACUCCUCAAACCAAGCUCUGCCCCCCCCCAGGAAUCUGGUUGGAGCCCCUUUAAUCUCUCCCUGCAUCCAUUGCUGCGUGGCUGCCACUCCCUCUUCAGUCCAAGUGCCCAGGUUCCCAAGCACGGGGUGCUGAGAGGGGCCAGGCCACGUGAUGGGAGUGUGGUCAUUAGAGAACGGGGUCCUCGUUCAGGUAGACGCUUGCCGCCAGGUGUGCUCGGUGUCCCCCGUCUACCAGGCACACCUUUCCCGUCUAGGAGUUGACCUCAUUAAUGGAGAGAGGCUGCUGGCGAGGCCACAGGUGCUCGAGCUGAAAUGCCAGCAGGGUCCUCUGACCUCUUCCCAGCCAGGACACACUCACAGCAGGCUACCUGAGCAGGUGAGCAGGGAACUCGGGGCCCAGCACAGAAGGACCAGCCCUGCGGCCACCUCCACUUUUAGCAUCAGCCCCACCAGAACGAAGGUCAGAAGCCCGUGUGUGGACAGAGAAAUAGAAUCAACACCGGGAAACCCUAAGCUGUGGUGCUGAGAAACGGAGCCCGGGAGACCUGGGGCUGGGGGGAGGAGCCAGCCGAGUGGCCCAGACACGGGUCAACCUGCAGGAAGGAGACGGGCACGGCACAGAGGCCGGGGGCUGGCAUCGUGGAUGGGCCACAGCUGGCCUGCACACCGCGUGGAGAGGUGGCAUCGUCCGUGUGUCCAAGUCCCUGACCAGGAACGCGUCCUAAUGCCAGCUGCAGGCUUCCAGUCACAGUGUAGCAUCAGCUGGACACUGUCACCUCGGGUACGUCAGGUGGGGUGCAGGGCUGGGCGCAGGGGUUCCCUGUGCCUUCGUCUCUGGCUCAGUUUUGCUGUGAAUAGUUAACCGCCCUACAAAAUAAAAUCUCUUUUUGAGAAGAGCCCG